AUGGUUGACCAUAGGACAUGC
rnacentral:miRNA from 1 species